GAUGAAGAACGUAGCGAAAUGCGAUACGUAAUGUGAAUUGCAGACGUCAGUGAAUCAUCGAAUCUUUGAACGCACAUUGCGCCCUUUGGUAUUCCGAAGGGCAUGCCUGUUCGAGCGUCAUUAUCACCCCUCAAGCCCCUUGGCUUGGUGUUGGACGGUUGGCGACGACCCCUGGGUCGUCGCCCCUCCCAAAGACAAUGACGGCGGCCUCGUUGGACCCCCGGUACACUGAGUUCUUCACGGGACACGUACUGGAUCAAGGGUGCGCGGAGCACGGUCUUAACCAUUUCACCCCUCGUGGGCGGAAUAAUUUUUCUAGGUUGACCUCGGAUCAGGUAGGGAUACCCGCUGAACUUAAGCAUAUCAAUAAGCGGAGGA
rnacentral:misc_RNA from 1 species